rnacentral:tRNA from 1 species
GGAGACGUGGCCGAGUGGUCGAAGGCACUCCCCUGCUAAGGGAGCAUUUGCUCAAAAAGCGAAUCGGAGGUUCGAAUCCUCUCGUCUUCG